AAAGUAUAAUAUUUAACAAACUAUUGAUUCAAAUAAAACAACGAAAGACACAAAAUUUGUUUACGACGAAUAACAAGAAAAAGGUAUAGUAAUCGACAGUAUUGUAUACAAGCAACUUUACAAUGGUUGAGCGGAUUUUACACCUUGGACAGAGCAGUCAUUGGAAUACUAUGUAGAUCACCUAAAACCGAAUAUGCAGCUCGUGCCACAACACAUUCCAUAAACAGAAUUUUUUAAUUUGAUGAAGAUGUUAAUAGUCUAAUGUACAUAGAAGAAACUGAUAAAAAUGGAGACUUUGAAUCAUCCGAAGAAGAAGAAGAAGAAGAGGAAGAAGACGAAGUUGAAAUAUUAGACAUGCUUAAAGGGGUCAGAAUCUGCUACCAAUAAUGCACUAGCUAAUGUACCUAAUUUGUUUGUAGAUGAAUUUCUUAUGGGCAAUUAUCCUGCAUAUUUUAUGGAUUUGUUGGUUCGACAUUUAUAUAUUUGUCCUGUACAAAUAGAGGAUUAUUCCUAUCCAUUGAGCAAUGUAAUAAGUUUAAAAAUUAUUAGAGUUAUAUAUGCAUUUCUGCAAUCAGGAACGAAUAGAUGGAGAGGUUUUAUGAAAUACAUGAUGAGAGACUGUAAUAAAAAGCUUAAAUGUUACGAACCAGAAGGCACUGACACUAAAUUUUCUUCCCCAUUACUGUCCCUAUCUAAUCUUAGAGAAGUACCAUUAACGAGUCCAGGAUUAAAAAAUAAUGUACAAACAUGCGUCAUUGAUUUUUCAUUACCAUUUGAAUUUAAAUUCAAGUUAUAUAGACACAAAUAUAUAAGCAAAGCCCAUAUUGAA